UACGGAGGAUCCGAGCGUUAUCCGGAUUUAUUGGGUUUAAAGGGUGCGCAGGCGGGAGAUUAAGUCGGCGGUGAAAUUUUGCAGCUCAACUGUAAAAGUGCCUUCGAAACUGGUUUCCUUGAGUGUAGAUGAAGUAGGCGGAAUUUGUGGUGUAGCGGUGAAAUGCAUAGAUGUCACGAGGAACUCCGAUUGCGCAGGCAGCUUACUAAACUACUACUGACGCUCAGGCACGAAGGCGUGGGGAUCAAACAGGAUUAGAUACCCCCGUAGU
rnacentral:rRNA from 1 species